GAGAAUUCAACCUGCUGACCGUUCCUUGCUGUUAAUUGUGCUUCCAAAAUUGAAGAAACAUGUUUACAAAAUAACUUCUUUAGUGGAGACUUUCAUCCAGAUUUCGACACCUGACAUCAUGAUGUCUAUCAGAUCAGAAUCUAUUGACUUGCAAUAUAUAAAUCUGGUGCAAUUCUGACUGGGGACGGCAGCAUCAAUUUUUGAGAGAUUAAUUCAUUUUUGAAGUCCGAUCUCUACUCUCUCUUUCUUCCCCUGCGAAAAAGACCUUCUUCUUGGUGAUUUAGGGUCUUUUAUUUUGGAUAUUUUGGGGAGAAAUAAUCUAGGUUUUUGGAUCUGAUUGCUGACCAUUUUCUUCCUGUGUGGAGACUCCAUUUUUGGCGAUUUUCAGAUUUGUGAGAGAGACUUUAUUCUUGGUUUUAGAGACGGCUUCUUGGGUUCUCUCUUCUCAGUGAAGACUUCAUUCUCCUUUGUGGAUUAGGGUCGAUUCUUGAGUGUUUUCAGCAAGUAAAUCUGGGAAAUCGUGUAAUACUAUAGAUGCAUUUAGUAGGGUGCUUUUCUCUGUUGAUUGUGUAUGAAUCUUAGUGAUUCUAUGAGGACAGUUCGGUUUUGGUGAUCUAUGUGAUCCAGAUUUUGAUUCCUCAGUGGAGUGAGGCGUGAUUUGUGCCUUAUUUUAAAGAUAAGUCUUGGUGACUUUAUUUCUGUUAUACUACUAAAACAUUCUUGUAUUUUACUGCUUGAUUUUUGGGGCUUUAUAGUGUAACCGAGCUUUAUCCAUUUUAAUGGAUGCUC
rnacentral:lncRNA from 1 species